UUCUGAAUUUGUCAUUUUCAGAGGCAUAUUGCUACAUUUGGGGCAAUGCAUACAUAUGUGGUUUCGUUAGCUCCAGCGGGGGCUAAUCCUCUGACAGAGCCACCUCUCACACGAAACACUGAAUGGAGGCGAUCCCGAGAUGGAUGGAGCAGCAGCAGCGCAGGUUGCUGCAGGACAGGACGAAUGGGAAGAUUGGAUGGGAUAAUGGAUCUCCUAAAGUAUCACACACCUAUAGCAACAUGCAAACAAAGGAUACCAAUAAAGUAAUACUAUCGUGAAAGGUAUUAGAAAAUGUGAGGUGCUAUACAAAUACCAGUCAUUACAGAUAAGUACCACAGAAUUUGGAGUGCACCUAUGUUGAGCCCUAGCUAUUUCACUUACUAUAAAAUC
rnacentral:lncRNA from 1 species